AUUGAACGCUGGCGGCAUGCCUUACACAUGCAAGUCGAACGGCAGCACGGGGGCAACCCUGGUGGCGAGUGGCGAACGGGUGAGUAAUGCAUCGGAACGUACCCGGAAGUGGGGGAUAACGUAGCGAAAGUUACGCUAAUACCGCAUAUUCUGUGAGCAGGAAAGAGGGGGAUCGCAAGACCUCUUGCUUUCGGAGCGGCCGAUGUCGGAUUAGCUAGUUGGUGGGGUAAAGGCCUACCAAGGCGACGAUCCGUAGCGGGUCUGAGAGGAUGAUCCGCCACACUGGGACUGAGACACGGCCCAGACUCCUACGGGAGGCAGCAGUGGGGAAUUUUGGACAAUGGGGGCAACCCUGAUCCAGCCAUGCCGCGUGAGUGAAGAAGGCCUUCGGGUUGUAAAGCUCUUUCGGCCGGGACGAAAUCGCAUCUCCUAAUACGGGGUGUGGAUGACGGUACCGGAAUAAGAAGCACCGGCUAACUACGUGCCAGCCGCCGCAGUAAAAC
rnacentral:rRNA from 1 species